UCCCCUUUCCUCUGCCAGCCAGUCUUUUGCUUUAGGUCCCAAAUUUGCAAAAACACCAGUCUCCACAGCAUUUCACCAGCUGCAUAAUAAUUCCCCAUUGAGCAUCGAGCAUAAUGAGCCUCCCCCAGUUUUCUGCUUUCCACCCAUCAUUACCCAUCCCGUCCCAUCCCUUGCCGUUGAGAACAUAUGAUAUUGCCGACCCCAUUCAAUUCUUACACCUUUCAGGCUCUUUGGCUCCCUGUAUUUUGAUACAUUUUGCUUUACAUCUUAGGCCGUAAACCAGCAGCGCCCGUGGAGGGCAAUGUUUGUAAUGUUGUUUAGUUUAGAAUAUCAUAGAGGGAGAGGGGAGGGGGUUACUGGUUGCGGUUUUCGUUACGUGUAUAUACCCUAUAGCAAAACAUGAGAAUCCAUUUAGUGGAGGUGGUGAGGAGGAGGGGGAGGAGGGUACAGACAGGGCUAGUUGUUGUGUUACUGUCAUUUUAGCGAUAAAAAGGAAAAUCAAUUGGUAAUUGGUGUAGAGAGGGGAAAGAUUGGUGGUGUUAAUUGGAUGCCAUUUUGCUGCUUCUGCUGGUCUGUGGUGCCGAUACAUUUUCAUCAUCAUGAAUAAAACAAUCCAACAUUCUUUCUUUCUUUCUUUGUAUUUUACUCUGCUGUUGGUUAUUUCUUUCUGUAAUGAGCUGGAGUAUUAUGGUAUGUUGUCAAGAAUCACUAAUCCUAGCUUGCUCUGGCAUUCUUCUACUAUUUGUCAGCAUUAGCACAAUAGGUUUGUUCUGCCAGCUGGCAUGGCAUGGCCUGUGAGAGUCCUUGGGAGUAGAGAUGAUGGCAACAUCAGCACUGGUCCUCUGGUUUGGCUGUGUGUGUGUGGUGGCUGGUAGGUGUGGGUAACAAGGGUAGUAGUAACACAGCGCAUCGCCCAAUGUAUGUGCUUAGGGGUGUGAAAAAGAAGAGACUUUUUCCUCACUUGUUCUCUCUCUGGGGUGGGUCUACAGUAGGUGUUAAAGCCAUGAUGACCACAGAACUGUCAGUCCUCUCUGUCUCUCUCUAGCUCCAUGGUGAUGAUCAGAUCUGGGAGCCCCAGCUGGUAAUGAUUUGGGCCCCAGGGCCAGGGCCAAGCAAGUCCCUCCUAGCCUGGCACGCAGAGCUGGCCCCUUUUGAAUGGGGUAGCUACCUCAUUCAUUGCUUUGCAAUCUACUACUCCCUCCAUUCCUAAAUAGUUGUCUUUUUAGAGGUUUCAACUGGUGACUACAUACGAAGCAAAAUGAGUGAAUCUACACUCUAAAAUAUGUCUAUAUACAUUCGUAUGUGGUGAUCAUUUGAAAUCUUUAGAAAGACAAAUAUUUAGGAACGGAGGGAGUAGUACUGUCCUCUCUCUCCAUCUCCCUAGCCUACACGCCCAAUAGAUAUUUACAGUCUCUGAUAGCGAGUAUAAUAGUGGGGUUUUUUUUUUCGAGGGUACGCCAAAGGCGUACCUUAGCUUUAUAGAAGGGAGAAAAAUAUGUACAAGAAGUAUAAUAGUGGGUUUAUAGCGGACUGGGAGCUUGUGGCUCUCAGGUCUACUCCCUUCAUCCGGUAUUACUUUGCAAAAAUGGAUGUAUCCGUAUUUUAGUACUAGAUAUAUCCAUUUUCGAGACAAGUAAUUCUGAACCGAGGGAGUAGUAGAUAGCGGACCGGGAGCUUGCGAGACAAUAGAUAUUUACACCCGAUUUUUUCUAAAAAAAUAGUAAUUUGUAAGAAAGUCCAAAAAAACUGAAACCUUUUGGGAACAAAGUAGAUUUAUUGUUGCACUCCUAUAAAUCUUUUGUGAAGAAAUGAUUCAUGUUGUUGUUGUGGACGUAAUAAAACAAAUUUGUCUGUAUAUACAUGGUACUGUUCAUGCUAUAUUCUAUGACAAUUUGCCGUUUUUGUCAGAAUUUUGUCGGACAAUAUUUCGUUACAGAAUAUUUUUGUAUGACAGAGACGACAGAUUUUUGUAUGAUAGAAACGACAACUCAAGUUUGUUGGGAAAAAGUUUUAGAAUGUUUUGACUUUUUCUGAGUUAAAAUAAAAUAAAAAUCAGUUAUCAGUUGUAAUUACCACCAUGUUUCAAAAGGUAUUUUCCGUUUAUAGUCUGCUUAUGUGGCACUUUUGCCCGUGUGAAUGAGAGACGUGGAAAGGUAAGGAAGUGUGCUCUGAUGUAAGGGCAACUCCAACGUUGAUCACCAUAUUUUAGGCACUACUUCCUCCGUUUCAAAUUACUUGUCGCAGAAAUGGAUGUAUCUAAAACUAAAAUACAUUUAGAUAUAUCCAUACUUGCGACAAGUAAUUCGGAAUAGAGGGAGUAGAUGUCUACAAUCAAGGCAAAAAGGGGGCGAAGUAGAGGUUGGUGUUUGCCGCCGACGAGGCCAUGGCUUCCUAUGGCCUCUGAGCGCUUUUUUUUAAACGAGGCAAAAGACUUGUCAUUUUCAUUGGUUAAGAAGAAAAGAAUUGCUUGGUUAAUUAAUGGAAAACCGGGCUAAAAUCGAUACAAACCAACCCACAUAACAUGGGUACCACCGGCCAACCUGGCCACCAACAUGGGAUCAAACAGCAACAAGCAACUGCACAAAAACCAUGACGGCACAUGCCAACAGAAGGUAACACACGCGAACAACCGAUAGCUCCGACUUUGAUGACGAUCAUCACAAAGGAAAUAUGCAGGACACGCAUCGAUCGUGCUCUCCGUAAUCGACCACCGAGCGCCUGUCAUCGUCACCACAUGGACACAGUCCACCGCAGCUUUGACUUCAAAGCAACUAAGCAACCUACGGAAGAGCACCUCGGACACGCCGGGAAGAUCCACCGAAGCCUGAGCCUCGACCAAAGCUCCUCGCGACGCCAUCAUCGUUGCCAAACACAAAUCAGCGCCCUCGAAAUGGCCGCCUCAGCAAACUACGCGGCGAAGAUGCCGCCAUCCACUGGUCCCCAGGUUGUGUCCGGCUCCGAGACGAUGCCCCCAAGGAGGAAGAAGACGUGAUAUAAGGCAUGAAUGUUUAUUUUGUGUUACCAUGGCACUCCAUGCAUGUGUCCAAGCCCUGAGACCAAUAUGUUUGAAAAUUCCUUCCAAUUUACUGCGCAUGUAAUUACAUCGCACACAAAAUGUACACAUAUAUGAUUUUUCAAACUGUUAUGGUUAGCUGUUGCAUGCACAUGUAGUUCAAAUUUGAAUUACGGUCAUUAAAUGGCUAGAAAAUCACUUAAAUGUCUUAAAAAGGUCAAAUGACUCUUGAAAAUUUUCAAAUUUUGACAUGACAGUUGUAUUAGUGCACGUCAACAGUAAAAAAAA
rnacentral:lncRNA from 1 species